GGGGUCGUAGCUCAGUUGGGAGAGCUCCGCAAUCGCACUGCGGAGGUCGAGGGUUCGACUCCCUUCGACUCCACCA
rnacentral:tRNA from 1 species